rnacentral:rRNA from 1 species
CAGCAGCCACGGGAAUACGUAGGGCGCAAGCGUUAUCCGGAAUUAUUGGGCGUAAAGAGCUCGUAGGCGGUUUGUCGCGUCUGCCGUGAAAGUCCGGGGCUCAACCCCGGAUCUGCGGUGGGUACGGGCAGACUAGAGUGAUGUAGGGGAGACUGGAAUUCCUGGUGUAGCGGUGAAAUGCGCAGAUAUCAGGAGGAACACCGGUGGCGAAGGCGGUUCUCUGGGAAUGUUCUGACGCUGAGGAGCGAAAGUGUGGGGAGCGAACAGGAUUAGAUACCCCGGUAGUCCCUGUCUCUUAUAC